CACCGCGGUUAUACGAGAGGCCCAAGUUGAUAGUCCACGGCGUAAAGAGUGGUUAGAGAACUCCCAUUACUAAAGCCGAACCCCUUCAAGGCUGUUAUACGCACACCGAAGAGGAGAAGCCCGCCCACGAAAGUGGCUUUACAAUCUUGAACCCACGAAAGCUAAGGUA
rnacentral:rRNA from 1 species